GACGUAGGGCGCGAGCGUUGUCCGGAAUUAUUGGGCGUAAAGAGCUCGUAGGCGGUCUGUCGCGUCGGCUGUGAAAACUCGGGGCUCAACUCCGAGCUUGCAGUCGAUACGGGCAGGCUAGAGUUCGGCAGGGGAGACUGGAAUUCCUGGUGUAGCGGUGAAAUGCGCAGAUAUCAGGAGGAACACCGGUGGCGAAGGCGGGUCUCUGGGCCGAUACUGACGCUGAGGAGCGAAAGCGUGGGGAGCGAACAGG
rnacentral:rRNA from 1 species